GAUCUUGGCAGUGCUAUUGGAAAGGUUUAAUAAAUAUCUACACGAACCAAAUUUUGUGAAUGAUACACUGGGCAAGAUAGAAACAAAGACUGGCGUAAAACGAUUGUACAUUGCAAAG